AAACAAUCCCCUAGUAGCGGCGAGCGAAGCGGGAAGAGCUCAAAUUUAUAAUCUGGCACCUUCGGUGUCCGAGUUGUAAUCUCUAGAAAUGUUUUCCGCGUUGGACCGCACACAAGUCUGUUGGAAUACAGCGGCAUAGUGGUGAGACCCCCGUAUAUGGUGCGGACGCCCAGCGCUUUGUGAUACAUUUUCGAAGAGUCGAGUUGUUUGGGAAUGCAGCUCAAAUUGGGUGGUAAAUUCCAUCUAAAGCUAAAUAUUGGCGAGAGACCGAUAGCGAACAAGUACCGUGAGGGAAAGAUGAAAAGCACUUUGGAAAGAGAGUUAACAGUACGUGAAAUUGUUGGAAGGGAAACGCUUGAAGUCAGACUUGCUUGCCGAGCAAUCGGUUUGCAGGCCAGCAUCAGUUUUCCGGGAUGGAUAAUGGUAGAGAGAAGGUAGCAGUUUCGGCUGUGUUAUAGCUCUCUGCUGGAUACAUCUUGGGGGACUGAGGAACGCAGUGUGCCUUUUGGCGGGGGUUUCGACCUCUUCACACUUAGGAUGCUGGUGGAAUGGCUUUAAACGACCCGUCUUGAAACAACGGAACA
rnacentral:rRNA from 1 species